rnacentral:rRNA from 1 species
UACGAAGGGGGCUAGCGUUGCUCGGAAUCACUGGGCGUAAAGGGUGCGUAGGCGGGUCUUUAAGUCAGGGGUGAAAUCCUGGAGCUCAACUCCAGAACUGCCUUCGAUACUGGCGAUCUCGAGUCCGGGAGAGGUGAGUGGAACUGCGAGUGUAGAGGUGAAAUUCGUAGAUAUUCGCAAGAACACCAGUGGCGAAGGCGGCUCACUGGCCCGGUACUGACGCUGAGGUGCGAAAGCGUGGGGGAGCAAACAGG